GUAGGUUACUAACGGAUUAUCGACGCAUAAAUCAGGUAUUCGUUUUUCUCAUGAAAGAAAAAUAAUACCAAACUACACUUGAAGUUUUGAUACUAUUGUUAUUUUCUUCGCAAAUAUACAUGAACGGAGGUUACUCUGUUGAAUUCGAUUUGCCUGUCUAUGAUAGCUGGAUGAUUGGUGCUAUUUUAGGUAAUAUUUAACUUCUUAUGAAAAAGAGCUCUGGAAAAAAAUCUAGCAAAAUACUCAAAUUCUAAGGCAAAAUAUUUGGAUUUUUAGUAAAUUAAAUUUUACUUUAUGGCCAAUUUUGUCAUAUGUCAAAGUUUAAAGUUAAUCUCACGGUACAUUCUUCACCACCCAGCCUCCUCAAAAUGUAAGUUAAAGUAAAAGAAGCCAUAUAUGUAGUUAAUUAUAAAAAUAAAUGUUUCCAAUAAAAAGGAAAUUAUGCGUGUAAGUAGACGAAAACGUAUCUAUCAAUAAUGUAGAAAGUAAAUGGAAAGGCACCUGAAAAGAAAUUAGAUGUAGUUUAUACUUUUGUUUAUUCCUGUUGCUCUUUAUUAACAUUUGAAUAAUAGUCGAGUGAAUAGUUGAUUGUUUUUACUUUCUUUCUUUAACAUUAGUGAAAACAUUUUUUUUUCAAUCAAUAAACAAGUCUAUAGAUAAAGUGCUAUAGCAAACGUUUUAAAAUUCUAAGCAAUUGAAAACAUUUAGAGCAAUGUGUUUAUUCUUUAUUUCUACAUCAACAAUGGUUACCAAAGCCCAUAAGUUAUAUUUUAACAUAGAAAAUGAAAUUAAAUUAAAGUACUAUUUCAUGCAUGUUGAAUGCUAUCAGUCGAUAUUUAUAAUUAUUAUCAACUACAAUAAUCUUGAUAAGACAUGUUUUUGUGAAUGAAGUUUAGUCGAUAUAAGAUAACAUGUAUUUAAGGAUUUAUUUAUUGUGUAUAAAUAUUAUUUGCAAACCCCCAAAAAGUAUUGUUAAAAGUCAAGAAUAGUUGUUUAUAUCUAUAGGUUUUAUUUUGUUGUGGUGUAUUUUUCUGAGUCAUAAAUUAAAAUAUCAUAUU
rnacentral:sRNA from 1 species